rnacentral:rRNA from 1 species
UACGAAGGGGGCUAGCGUUGCUCGGAAUCACUGGGCGUAAAGCGCACGUAGGCGGAUUGCUAAGUCAGGGGUGAAAUCCUGGAGCUCAACUCCAGGACUGCCUUUGAUACUGGCGAUCUUGAGUCCGGGAGAGGUGAGUGGAACUGCGAGUGUAGAGGUGAAAUUCGUAGAUAUUCGCAAGAACACCAGUGGCGAAGGCGUCUCACUGGCCCGGUACUGACGCUGAGGUGCGAAAGCGUGGGGAGCAAACAGG